rnacentral:rRNA from 1 species
UGCCAGCAGCCGCGGUAAUAUGGACGGUGCGUGCGUUAAUCGGAAUUACUGGGCGUAAAGCGCGCGUAGGCGGUUUGGUCAGUCGGAUGUGAAAGCCCCAGGCUCGACCUGGGAAUGGCAUUCGAUACUGCCUGACUAGAGUAUGGUAGAGGGAAGUGGAAUUUCCGGUGUAGCGGUGAAAUGCGUAGAUAUCGGAAGGAACACCAGUGGCGAAGGCGACUUCCUGGGCCAAUACUGACGCUGAGAUGCGUAAGCGUGGGGAGCAAACAGGGUUAGAUG